rnacentral:misc_RNA from 1 species
GAUGAAGAACGCAGCGAAAUGCGAUAAGUAAUGUGAAUUGCAGAAUUCAGUGAAUCAUCGAAUCUUUGAACGCACCUUGCACUCCUUGGUAUUCCGAGGAGUACGCCUGUUCGCGUGUUAUGAAGCUCUCAAAACGCAAUUGGCUUAAAACCUGAUUGUUGUUUUGGAUUUGAACUUUGCCGUGUUAUAACGGCUGGUUUUAAAAGUAUUAGCUGGUACUAGAACGAAUUGGUUCUACUCAACGUGAUAAUUAUCUGAUCGUUGAGGACAUUCCUUUCACGAGGAAUGGCCAUAGUAAAUUCAAUGGACUGCUUCUAAUCUGGCUUUAAUUCUUUAUUGGAUUAACCACUUUUCAAAUCUGACCUCGAAUCAGGUGGGACUACCCGCUGAACUUAAGCAUAUCAAUAAGCGGAGGA